CCUACGGGCGGCUGCAGUGAGGAAUAUUGGUCAAUGGACGCGAGUCUGAACCAGCCAAGUCGCGUGCAGGAUGACUGCCCUAUGGGUUGUAAACUUCUUUUAUACGAGGAUAAACCCCGGCACGUGUGCCUUUUUGUAUGUACCUUAUGAAUAAGGAUCGGCUAACUCCGUGCCAGCAGCCGCGGUAAUACGGAGGAUCCGAGCGUUAUCCGGAUUUAUUGGGUUUAAAGGGUGCGUAGAUGGGUUGAUAAGUCAGUUGUGAAAGUUUGCGGCUCAACCCUGAAAUUGCCAUUAAUACUGGUGGACUUGAGAACAGUUGAGGUAGGCGGAAUGUGUGGUGUAGCGGUGAAAUGCUUAGAGAUCACACAGAACACCGAUUGCGAAGGCAGCUUACCAAACUGCAUCUGACAUUGAGGCACGAAAGUGUGGGUAGCAAACAGGAUUAGAUACCCGAGUAGUC
rnacentral:rRNA from 1 species